rnacentral:rRNA from 1 species
AAAGGCGAAAAGAACCCCGGGAGGGGAGUGAAAUAGAUCCUGAAACCGCAUACAUACAAACAGUAGGAGCCCGCAAGGGUGACUGCGUACCUUUUGCAUAAUGGGUCAGCGACUUACGUUCAAUGGCAAGCUUAACCGAGUAGGGGAGGCGCAGCGAAAGCGAGUCCGAACAGGGCGACAUGAGUCGUUGGGCGUAGACCCGAAACCAGAUGAUCUAUCCAUGGCCAGGCUGAAGGUGUGGUAACACACACUGGAGGGCCGAACCGACUAGUGUUGCAAAAUUAGCGGAUGAGCUGUGGAUAGGGGUGAAAGGCUAAACAAAUCUGGAGAUAGCUGGUUCUCCCCGAAAACUAUUGAGGUAGUGCCUCGUGUAUGGCUCCAGGGGGUAGAGCACUGUUAUGGCUAGGGGGACAUGGCGUCUUACCAAACCAUGGCAAACUCCGAAUACUUGGAAGUCUGAGCACGGGAGACAGAGCACCGGGUGCUAACGUCCGGACUCAAAAGGGAAACAACCCAGACCGCCGGCUAAGGUCCCUAAUAUUGACUAAGUGGAAAACGAAGUGGGAAGGCUAAGACAGUCAGGAAGUUGGCUUAGAAGCAGCCAUCCUUCAAAGAAAGCGUAAUAGCUCACUGAUCGAGUCUUCCUGCGCGGAAGAUGUAACGGGGCUAAGUCAAUAACCGAAGCCGCGGAUUCGCAGCAAUGCGAGUGGUAGGGGAGCGUUCUGUAAGCCUGCGAAGGCGGAUCCGUGAGGACCGCUGGAGGUAUCAGAAGUGCGAAUGCUGACAUGAGUAACGUUAAAGCGGGUGAAAAGCCCGCUCGCCGCAAGCCCAAGGUUUCCUGCUCUACGUUCAUCGGAGCAGGGUGAGUCGGCCCCUAAGGUCAGGCUGAGAAGCGUAGCUGAUGGGAAGCUGGUUAAUAUUCCAGCACCGAUUUCAAGUGCGAAGGGGGGACGGAGUCCUGAAGGUCAUCCGGGUGUUGGACAUCCCGGUUUACGAGCGUAGGAGGUUGACAGGCAAAUCCGUCAACGGAUCUCCAAGGCGAAGGAUCGAGGUUGAGAGAUCAACUGAAGUGACUGAAUGGGCUUCCAGGAAAAGCCUCUAAGCAUCAGCUUGGAAUUGACCGUACCGCAAACCGACACUGGUGGGCGAGCUGAAUAUGCUCAGGCGCUUGAGAGAACUCAGGAGAAGGAACUCGGCAAAUUGACACCGUAACUUCGGGAUAAGGUGUGCCUUUGUAGUGUGAAGGGAGAAACACCCCGAGCAUGAAGAGGCCUCAGAGAAUCGGUGGCUGCAACUGUUUACUAAAAACACAGCACUCUGCAAAGAUGAAAGUCGACGUAUAGGGUGUGAUGCCUGCCCGGUGCUGGAAGAUUAAUUGAUGGGGUGCAAGCUCCUGAUCGAAGUCCCAGUAAACGGCGGCCGUAACUAUAACGGUCCUAAGGUAGCGAAAUUCCUUGUCGGGCAAGUUCCGACCUGCACGAAUGGCAUAAUGAUGGCCACACUGUCUCCUCCUGAGACUCAGUGAAGUUGAAAUGUUUGUGAUGAUGCAAUCUCCCCGCGGCUAGACGGAAAGACCCCAUGAACCUUUACUGCAGCUUUGCAUUGGACUUUGAACCGAUCUGUGUAGGAUAGGUGGGAGGCAGUGAAGCUAGGACGCCAGUCUUAGCGGAGCCAACCUUGAAAUACCACCCUGAUUUGUUUGAGGUUCUAACCUAGGAGCGUAAUCCGCUUCGGGGACCGUGCAUGGUAGGCAGUUUGACUGGGGCGGUCUCCUCCUAAAGGGUAACGGAGGAGUGCGAAGGUACGCUAGGUACGGUCGGAAAUCGUGCUGAUAGUGCAAUGGCAAAAGCGUGCUUGACUGCGAGACCGACAAGUCGAGCAGAUACGAAAGUAGGUCAUAGUGAUCCGGUGGCUC